rnacentral:snRNA from 1 species
AUACUCUGGUUUCUCUUCAGAUCAUAUAAAUCUUUUGCCUUUUGCUGAAGAUUUCCAUGGAGAGGAACAAUUCUUGGGGUGGG